GUGAUGGUGGCGAGAGCAUGACAGCAGCAGCAGCGGCACUCUUCCCUAUCCAUCCUCCUCCUCCGCCCUCCCAGCCAGCAGAAAUGGCAGCAUCACCGGCGCCUGCACUCUCCUGGACCGGGCGGCCCUGCACAGGGUACUUCUGAACAGGACCACCAAGGCGUCUCCAGAACCUGUACCUGAGGAGAAGAACUUUAACACCACCACUGACAAUAAAGAAAUUAUGGAAGAAAAUACAGAUCCACCACGUGAGGCACAUCAUGAAAAGAGAAGUUGCUGUGCAUACCUCAGAAGACCCUUUAUAAAGAAGGUUUCUCCAGAAAGUCUACCUGAGAAGAAGGACGUUGAAUCCAUCACUGAGAGAAAAAGUAAGAUGAACAACUGGAGCUUUGCAAACCUUAUUAUACGAUUAUGGUGCAUAUCAGUAGAAUGUGAUUAAAAUGGUAGACU